CAGUAGCCGCGGGAAUACGAAGGGUGCAAGCGUUAAUCGGAAUUACUGGGCGUAAAGCGUGCGUAGGCGGUGAGUUAAGUCUGCUGUGAAAUCCCCGGGCUCAACCCAUAGUCUGCAUGGAAAACUGUCGGGCUUGAGUAUGGGAGAGGUGAGUGGAAUUUCCGGUGUAGCGGUGAAAUGCGUAGAUAUCGGAAGGAACACCUGAGGCGAAAGCGGCUCACUGGACCAUAACUGACGCUGAGGCGCGAAAGCUAGGGGAGCAAACAGGAUUAGAUACCCCCGUAGUCCCUGUCUCUUAUAC
rnacentral:rRNA from 1 species